AGCGAACGCUGGCGGCAGGCCUAACACAUGCAAGUCGAGCGGCCGCAGCAAUACGGCAGCGGCAGACGGGAGAGUAACACGUGGGAACGUGCCCAUCGGUUCGGAACAACCCAGGGAAACUUGGGCUAAUACCGGAUACGCCCUUACGGGGAAAGAUUUAUCGCUGAUGGAGCGGCCCGCGUCUGAUUAGCUAGUUGGUGAGGUAACGGCUCACCAAGGCGACGAUCAGUAGCUGGUCUGAGAGGAUGAUCAGCCUCACUGGGACUGAGACACGGCCCAGACUCCUACGGGAGGCAGCAGUGGGGAAUAUUGGACAAUGGGCGCAAGCCUGAUCCAGCCAUGCCGCGUGGAUGAUGAAGGCCCUAGGGUUGUAAAGUCCUUUCGGCGGGGAAGAUAAUGACGGUACCCGCAGAAGAAGCCCCGGCUAACUUCGUGCCAGCCGCCGCCGUAA
rnacentral:rRNA from 1 species